ACAGCAGCCGCCACGGUAAUACAGAGGGUGCGAGCGUUAAUCGGAUUUACUGGGCGUAAAGCGUGCGUAGGCGGCUUUUUAAGUCGGAUGUGAAAUCCCUGAGCUUAACUUAGGAAUUGCAUUCGAUACUGGGAAGCUAGAGUAUGGGAGAGGAUGGUAGAAUUCCAGGUGUAGCGGUGAAAUGCGUAGAGAUCUGGAGGAAUACCGAUGGCGAAGGCAGCCAUCUGGCCUAAUACUGACGCUGAGGUACGAAAGCAUGGGGAGCAAACAGGAUUAGAUACCCCAGUAGUCCCUGUCUCUUAUAA
rnacentral:rRNA from 1 species